AUGAGUUACAAUAAGAGAGAAAGAUGCAAUUUGAUGGGAAGAUGAUGAUGCUUUGAUUCGUAUUUGGCUUUCGUUAUGUCGGAUCAUAAGACGGUGAGUGAUAAGAAGAUCACACAAUCAAUAUCUUCAACAAAGACGUAAUCCAAGACGAGGAAGAAGAAGGCAUCAUAGGUUCCGGUUCAAGAGAAUGAGAUUUCUCCGGUGACGUCAUAGAAUCUUUCGUAACUGUUUGAAGAAUCCAAAACGAUUCUAGCGAGAGAUCAUCACGUAUUGACCGAAGAGAGAUCGGUGACACUCGACAACGACAGACAGAGGAAGUGAUCGGAGGAGAGGAGCAAGAGAAGCUUUUUGGACUGGAUUCUCUCAACUUCAAGCCCAUUAAGCAAUAGGGUUUUCAGCACGCCAAAAUACUCACAAGCCCAUUAAGAAUUACGUGUACCUAAUAUAGGACUCAGUUUCACUACUUGGAACAACUGAGACAACACCAUAGGCAAAAUCAAUGAAUUCUUCAAAACUAUAUACCAACAAAACACCAAACUCGCUUUUUAUGCUAUUUUGCGAUUACCAAUCAAACACAAUAUCUAAUAUUGUAUCUAUGGCUGUAUAUAAUUCUUAUGAUUCUUGAAAAAAAUCAAAACACUAAGCAGUUAGCACAAUUGCAUCAACUGCUAAUCUUUUAGAAACC